rnacentral:rRNA from 1 species
CAAUAGCGUAUAUUAAAGUUGUUGCGGUUAAAAAGCUCGUAGUUGGAUUUCUGCCGAGGACGACCGGUCCGCCCUCUGGGUGAGUAUCUGGUUCGGCCUGGGCAUCUUCUUGGAGAACGUAUCUGCACUUGACUGUGUGGUGCGGUAUCCAGGACUUUACUUGAGGAAAUUAGAGUGUUUCAAGCAGGCACACGCCUUGAAUACAUUAGCAUUGAAUAAUAAGAUAGGACCUUGGUUCUAUUUUGUUGGUUUCUAGAGCUGAGGUAAUGAUUAAUAGGGAUAGUUGGGGGCAUUCGUAUUUAACUGUCAGAGGUGAAAUUCUCAGACCAGUGGAAGACGAACUUCUGCGAAAGCAUUUGCCAGGGAUGUUUUCACUGAUCAAGAACGAAAGUUAGGGGAUCGAAGACGAUCAGAUACCG